rnacentral:lncRNA from 1 species
CCUCCUGCAGCUGCUGCUGGAAUAGUGAAAGUGUUGGUUUGAACCUCAGAAGGAAACAGACUCAUAAGCUACCCAUAUAAAUGUAAUCUAUAAAACAAUGGUUUUCACCCAUGAUCCUUUAAAAUAUAUAUUUUUAAGCUCUAACUCUUGAGAUUCUGAUUCUCCAGGCAGGGCCCCACUUUGUAGAUUUUUAGCACACUCUGGAGGAUUCUAUGGUGGGACCAGAACAAGGACCCCAAUUUUCUAGCUCUUGACUGGAGCCUCCCCAUACCCUGCAUGAUCCCUAGACCAUGGUCCCGGCCGGAUGGGGAUCCCACAACCCCCGGGGCUGCAACCGCUUGCCUGUGGCAGCAGGGGCUUGGCCCUCUCCACCUUUCUUUCUAGCUCCUUUAUGUUGAGCUGGAUCUCAGACUUUUGAGUCUCUUGAAGUCGAACUUUUUCUUCUAAUUUGAUAUUUUUCUCCUUCAGCUCCUCAUCGAUUAUGCUAUGGCCAGAGACAGUAGAGAAAGGAAUGAACGAAGAACAGAAAGGAACGCUUUGGUGACCAACCCUCUGCUUUCACCCCACAACCACAGAACCGUGGCAUUGGAUGGGACCCCAGGAAUUAAAAGUCCCAGGUGGCAGGCCAGAGAGAAGAUAUGAGUUGCCUGAGGCUACCCCAAAGAGGAAGACAGAGCUCUUACCAGGGGGAGGCAGAGAUGGCACAGCAAGGGACAUGCCCCCAGAAUGGCACCACUGCCCCAGGACAGGCCCACCCAUGGGACCAGCAGAUGGAGAGGAUUCAAACCCAGAAUUCUUAACCAGUGCCUGGGAGAUCUUCCACAAUCUUAACAAUUACCCUCCACCACCCCUUGGGCCCUCUGUCCCCAGGAGCCUGGCCAGCCAAGACUCACAUCCUCAGUAG